CUACUUUUCUACCCAAGCCAAGUUAAAAGUAAAUUUCAAAACCAAAGAAGUAUCAAUUAGUUAUUUUAGCAGUACUAAAAUUUCCAUAGAAGAUAUAAAGAUAAAAAUCACGGGGUUGUUCAACGAUGAUGAAAUCUCCGAAUUAGCUAGUGCUGUUAUUUCUGAGCUUAUUCCAGAUACUAUUGUAGAUUUUCAAGAAGAAAUUACAAAAUUUAUUAAUCAAUCAUUAAAAGAAAAUGCAAAUAAUUUUCUGAAGAACUAUACAUUAGAUGAUAUUAUGGGUUUACUUCAUUAAGUUUGUAUAAAUCAUACGUCUUUAUUGUUGAUAACAUACUAAAUGCAAGUGGAUAUUUAAAAAUUUUAUUUUACAACA